AUGCCUUGGAGUUCACUUGUACAUUCUUCUAGCCUUGUAGAGCUCUUCCCUUCCCAUACAAACACAUGCAUGACAUAAGGGCUGUGGUCUUCCUUCCUGUACUUAAAUCUGGUGUUUGUUUGAUCUUACAGGCUUCUUCAUAUUUUGCAUUUAAAUUUGGGUUAUUGUUAUUCAUCAAGACAUGGCAGUCUACUCCCCUGUUUUGGGUGUCACGAUCAAAAUAGCAGUAGGACAGCAGUAUGGAAUAAAUGAGACUUUGGGUCAAGCUACCAGGUGUUAUGUUGCUGUCAGUACUGCAACAUAUUAAGGUGUUCUUAUGUUUGUUUGGUGGGCUUUCAAGCCACUUGUGUUUGCAUUUUGUCCAAAACUCAUGAAGACUGAAGGUGUGGCUGGAAAAUCUUCAGUUUUAGGGAUCAAAGGAUCAUCUGGCAUAAUUAUGGAAAACAAUGAAUUGCCAGUGUUUUGCUGUUGAUCAUGUUUGCAGUUUUGCC